rnacentral:rRNA from 1 species
UAAUUUAUUUGUAAAUUUAAAUAUUAGUCUAAAAGGGUACAGCCUUUUAGAUUUAGGGUACAACCUAAAUUAGAGAGUAAAAUAUUUUAAUUCCCAUAGUUGGCCUAAAAGCAGCCAUCAAUUAAGAAAGCGUUCAAGCUCAACAGUAAAUUAUAUUCAAAUUUAAACCACUAAUAUUUAACUCCUAAAUUUUUACUGGACUAAUCUAUAUAAUUAUAGAAGUAAUACUGUUAAUAUGAGUAACAAGAUUUUAAUCUCCAAGCGCAAACUUAUGUCAGAUCAAAUAAUAACUGAUAAUUAACAGCCAAAUAAAUAUAAAUUCAAAUUAACUAUUUAUUAUAACACUGUUAACCCAACACAGGAGCGCACAAUUUUAAAGGAAAGAUUUAAAGAAGUAAAAGGAACUCGGCAAACACAAACCCCGCCUGUUUACCAAAAACAUCACCUCUAGCAUUACUAGUAUUAGAGGCACUGCCUGCCCAGUGACAAUUGUUAAACGGCCGCGGUAUCCUGACCGUGCAAAGGUAGCAUAAUCAUUUGUUCCUUAAAUAGGGACUUGUAUGAAUGGCCACACGAGGGUUUAACUGUCUCUUACUUCCAAUCAGUGAAAUUGACCUUCCCGUGAAGAGGCGGGAAUAUACAAAUAAGACGAGAAGACCCUAUGGAGCUUUAAUUUAAUAACCCAAGAGAAAUUUCAUUUUAUUAACUUAACAAGAUUUUCAAACUGGGUUAAAAAUUUAGGUUGGGGUGACCUCGGAAAAUAGAGAAACUUCCGAGAAACAUAUACUAAGUCUAACAAGACAAAGUAUAUUAUACAAAUUGAUCCAGUCUAACUGAUCAACGGAAUAAGUUACCCUAGGGAUAACAGCGCAAUCCUAUUUCAGAGUUCAUAUCGACAAUAGGGUUUACGACCUCGAUGUUGGAUCAGGACAUCCUAAUGGUGCAGCAGCUAUUAAUGGUUCGUUU